GAUGAAGAACGCAGCGAAAUGCGAUACGUAAUGUGAAUUGCAAAUUCAGUGAAUCAUCGAGUCUUUGAACGCACAUUGCGCCCCCUGGUAUUCCGGAGGGCAUGCCUGUUCGAGCGUCAUUGUCAACCCUCAAGCUCGGCUUGCUGUUGGGUCCCCCGCCGUUGCUUCAACGGCGGACCCGAAAGAUAGUGGCAGAGUCCGUGAGACCCUGGAUGCAGCGAGCUUCUAGCACGCGUCUAGGCGGUCUUCGGGCUUGGUCUUAACCAAUUGUCAACUUCUGAUUGACCUCGGAUCAGGUAGGGAUACCCGCUGAACUUAAGCAUAUCAAUAAGCGGAGGA
rnacentral:misc_RNA from 1 species